rnacentral:rRNA from 1 species
ACGGAGGGUGCGAGCGUUAUCCGGAUUCACUGGGUUUAAAGGGCGCGUAGGCGGGUGACCAAGUCCGGGGUGAAAUCUUUCGGCUUAACCGGAAAAGUGCCUUGGAUACUGGUCGCCUGGAGGGAGGUAGGGGCAUGUGGAACUUCCGGUGGAGCGGUGAAAUGCGUUGAUAUCGGAAGGAACGCCGGUGGCGAAAGCGACGUGCUGGCCCUCUUCUGACGCUGAGGCGCGAAAGCCAGGGGAGCGAACGGGA